rnacentral:rRNA from 1 species
UACGUAGGGUGCAAGCGUUAUCCGGAAUCACUGGGCGUAAAGCGUGCGUAGGUGGCGCAUUAAGUGAGAUGUUAAAUCGUGUGGCUCAACCAUAUCGAUGCAUCUCAUACUGGUGUGCUAGAGGACGGCAGAGGCAAGUGGAAUUGGUAGUGUAGCAGUGAAAUGCGUAGAUAUUACCAGGAACACCAAUGGCGAAGGCAGCUUG